rnacentral:siRNA from 1 species
UGGACUGAAGGGAGCUCCC